rnacentral:rRNA from 1 species
UACGUAGGGCGCAAGCGUUGUCCGGAAUUAUUGGGCGUAAAGAGCUCGUAGGCGGUUUGUCGCGUCUGCCGUGAAAGCCCGGGGCUUAACUCCGGGUCUGCGGUGGAUACGGGCAGACUAGAGGCAGGUAGGGGAGAACGGAAUUCCCGGUGUAGCGGUGAAAUGCGCAGAUAUCAGGAGGAACACCCGUGGCGAAGGCGGGUCUCUGGGCCGAUACUGACGCUGAGGAGCGAAAGCGUGGGGAGCGAACAGG